rnacentral:sRNA from 12 species
CGCCUAACCUUUAUAGAUUUUGUCCUAUGAAGUAUGGUUAAAACCCAUCCCUGGUAUUAAACUCCUCGUCAGACCACUCAGGGAUGGGUCUAUAAUCGAAAGGUUAUAGGAUAGUCGAAAGGCUGUC